UACGUAGGGUGCAAGCGUUGUCCGGAAUUAUUGGGCGUAAAGAGCUCGUAGGCGGUUUGUCGCGUCCGCUGUGAAAACGCGAGGCUCAACCUCGCGCCUGCAGUGGGUACGGGCAGACUAGAGUGCGGUAGGGGAGAUUGGAAUUCCUGGUGUAGCGGUGGAAUGCGCAGAUAUCAGGAGGAACACCGAUGGCGAAGGCAGAUCUCUGGGCCGUUACUGACGCUGAGGAGCGAAAGCGUGGGGAGCGAACAGG
rnacentral:rRNA from 1 species